rnacentral:rRNA from 1 species
ACGCUGGCGGCGUGCCCAAUACAUGCAAGUCGAACGGACAAGUAAGAGCUUGCUCUUAUGAGUUAGUGGCGCACGGGUGAGUAAUGUAUAGCUAAUCUGCCCUACACUAGAGGACAACAGUUGGAAACGGCUGCUAAUACUCUAUACUCCUGUCUUACAUAAGUUAGAUAGGGAAAGUUUUAUCGGUGUAGGAUGAGGCUUUAUUGUAUCAGCUAGUUGGUGAGGUAAUGGCUCACCAAGGCUAUGACGCAUAACUGGUCUGAGAGGAUGAUCAGUCACACUGGAACUGAGACACGGUCCAGACUCCCACGGGAGGCAGCAGUAGGGAAUAUUGCUCAAUGGGGGAAACCCUGAAGCAGCAACGCCGCGUGGAGGAUGACACUUUUCGGAGCGUAAACUCCCUUUGUUAGGGAAGAAUAAUGACGGUACCUAACGAAUAAGCACCGGCUAACUCCGUGCCAGCAGCCGCGGUAAUACGGAGGGUGCCAGCGUUACUCGGAAUCACUGGGCGUAAAGGACGCGUAGGCGGAUUUUCAAGUCUCUUGUGAAAUCCUAUGGCUUAACCAUAGAACUGCUUGGGAAACUGGUAAUCUAGAGUUAGGGAGAGGCAGAUGGAAUUGGUGGUGUAGGGGUAAAAUCCGUAGAGAUCACCAGGAAUACCCAUUGCGAAGGCGAUCUGCUGGAACUCAACUGACGCUAAUGCGUUAAAGCGUGGGGAGCAAACAGGAUUUGAUACCCUGGUAGUCCACGCCCUUAACGAUGUAUACUAGUUGUUGCUAAGCUAGUCUUGGCAGUAAUGCACCUAACGGAUUUAGUAUACCGCCCGGGGAGUACGGUCGCAAGAUUUAAACUCAAAGGAAUAGACGGGGACCCGCACAAGCGGUGGAGCAUGUGGUUUAAUUCGAAGAUACGCGAAGAACCUUACCCGGACUUGAUAUCUAACAAAUCAUCUAGAGAUAGAAGAGUGUCUGCUUGCAGAAAUGUUAAGACAGGUGCUGCACGGCUGUCGUCAGCUCGUGUCGUGGAUGUUGGGUUUAGUCCCGCAACGAGCGCAACCCACGUCAUUUGUUGCUAACAGUUCGGCUGAGCACUCUAAUGAGACUGCCCUCGUAAGGAGGAGGAAGGUGUGGACGACGUCAAGUCAUCAUGGCCCUUAUGUCCGGGGCGACACACGUGCUACAAUGGCAUAUACAAUGAGAAGCAAUAUCGCGAGAUGGAGGAAAUCUAUAAAAUAUGUCCCAGUUCGGAUUGGAGUCUGCAACUCGACUCCAUGAAGCCGGAAUCGCUAGUAAUCGUAGAUCAGCCAUGCUACGGUGAAUACGUUCCCGGGUCUUGUACUCACCGCCCGUCACACCAUGGGAGUUGAUUUCACUC